CCUACGGGUGGCAGCAGUGGGGAAUAUUUCGCAAUGGACGAAAGCCUGACGCAGCGACGCCGCGUGAGGGAUGAAGGUCUUCGGAUCGUAAACCUCUGUCAGCAGGGAAGAACGGUCACUGUGCUAAUCAGCAGUGAAUUGACGGUACCUGCAAAGUAAGCACCGGCUAACUCCGUUCCAGCAGCCGCGGUAAUACGGAGGGUGCGAGAGUUAAUCGGAAUUACUGGGCGUAAAGCGCUCGUAGGCGGUAUGUCAAGGCAAGGGUGAAAUCCCCGCGCUCAACGUGGGAACUGCCUUUGAAACUGGCAAACGGGAGGGGGGUAGAGGAUAGUGGAAUUCCAGGUGUAGCAGUGAAAGCCGUAGAUAUCUGGAGGAACAUCAGUGGCGAAGGCGACUAUCUGGCACAUAACUGACGCUGAGGAGCGAAAGCGUGGGUAGCAAACAGGAGUAGAUACCCCUGUAGUC
rnacentral:rRNA from 1 species